GACGAACGCUGGCGGCGUGCUUAACACAUGCAAGUCGAACGAUGAAGCGGUGCUUGCACCGUGGAUUAGUGGCGAACGGGUGAGUAAUACGUGAGUGACCUACCUUUGACUCUGGGAUAAGCCUGGGAAACUGGGUCUAAUACCGGAUACGACCAAUCUCUGCAUGGGGUGUUGGUGGAAAGCGUUAUGGAGUGGUUUUAGAUGGGCUCACGGCCUAUCAGCUUGUUGGUGAGGUAAUGGCUUACCAAGGCGACGACGGGUAGCCGGCCUGAGAGGGUGACCGGCCACACUGGGACUGAGACACGGCCCAGACUCCUACGGGAGGCAGCAGUGGGGAAUAUUGCACAGUGGGCGCAAGCCUGAUGCAGCGACGCCGCGUGAGGGAUGACGGCCUUCGGGUUGUAAACCUCUGUUAGCAUCGAAGAAGCGAAAGUGACGGUAGGUGCAGAGAAAGCGCCGGCUAACUACGUG
rnacentral:rRNA from 1 species